rnacentral:rRNA from 1 species
UACGUAGGGCGCAAGCGUUGUCCGGAAUCAUUGGGCGUAAAGCGCGUGUAGGCGGCCCGGUAAGUCCGCUGUGAAAGUCGGGGGCUCAACCCUCGGAUGCCGGUGGAUACUGUCGGGCUCGAGUACGGAAGAGGCGAGUGGAAUUCCUGGUGUAGCGGUGAAAUGCGCAGAUAUCAGGAGGAACACCAAUUGCGAAGGCAGCUCGCUGGGACGUUACUGACGCUGAGACGCGAAAGCGUGGGGAGCAAACAGG